GAAGUCCUAAAGCCCGUCCAUUCUCUAUAGAUUCAUUUCCUCAAACGUUUGCCAGAGGCCUAUCAUGAACAUCAAAAUUAGUUAUUAAGUCAAAACUCCAUCUUCUAGUUUCUACCUUUCUCCUCAGGCACUCCUUUGAAGCAGCUGGAGAAGUUAAUUUUCCUGGGUUGUUGCAAGAACUGAUACUUAUUUCAGAGGGCUAAGAUCUCUGAAAAUACUUCCGUGGAAAUUCACUGUAAUAUCAAAAGUAACAAGGGUGUAUGAAGCUACAUCAUUAAUGAGCGUUAGGGAGUGUAAACAAUAUUGAAUUUGAUUAAUUUCUUCGGAAAAAUGUCUGGUUCCACUGUUUAUCUGGAAGUUACCAGUUUGUAAGUCUUCAGUGUUUUGAUUACAGAAACAUAACUGCUCUUCCAUCAGCUGUGAAUUUAGAGCCCUUUUUUACGAGUAAUGUCCCUUUCACCAGUACAAGUACAUUUUUAUUCACUUGGCUUGUGUGGCUGCUAGAUUGGAUUAGCAUAGCCUUGCAACUCUAAGAGGUUUUAACUUCAUCAGGAGAUUAAGAAAGCCUACCUAGUGUGGUGGAAACAUGAUCUUUGUAGGCAAAUACGUUUGCCCUGCUUCUAUAUUCUUGACCUUAAUAAAUGGCACUACCAUCAGUCCUGCCUGUAAUCCUUGUCUUCCUUCCUGUCCACUAUUUCCCAAUAAAAUCAGUCACCAAAUCCUGUCUCUCCCUGAAACUGUUCCCAUCAGCAUACAAAUUAUGUUCUGGUAUCCUUCACAUCCCUCUCCAACUACCAUGCCAAUUUUUUAAAUUUCCAUUCAUAGAUUUCUACCUGUACCAACUCAGCUUUCUCACCUUUUAUUCACUCUUCAUUUUAU
rnacentral:lncRNA from 1 species